GUUUUAAAGAUAUAAAUAAUUAAAAUAUUAUACAUAAAAUAAAUAAAUUUUAUAACUUUAUUCAUGAUUUCAAUAUUGAAAAUUUAAUGUAUAAAGGGAAUACUUUUAUUGAAGAUGAAAAUCUCAAGUCAUGCUGUGUAUUAGUAUUUUCUGAGAGGGACUGUUCGUUAUACAACUCUCCUGCUGAUAAGAGGGCAUCAGGGUAAAUAACAAAGAACAGUCAAUUUUGCAGAUUAUAAGUAUGCAAUGAAAAUCCCUGGUUUUCUCAAAAUGCAUGUUAGACAUAAGCCUGGGAUUCAUCAGGCGUUGGCACUCAGGCUUAAGUUAGUCAUAUAGAUAAAUGACCAUAUUUUUUUUAUAAUCAAAUAUACAAAAAAAAUCAUAAUGGCAUAAAUGCAUAUUAGAUAUUAUUUUCUCUAAAGCAGAAUUUUCUAUACUUAUACACAUUUCUUGCCAUUCUGCAUAAUCACUUAAUAACUUAAGAGGCAAUUCCUAAUGUUCAAGAUUGAAAGAAAAUAUUAAUUUAUUGAUUUUAAAACAAUCCAUACACUGUGAUAUUAUAUUUUUCAACCAUGAAAUGCUUGCAUACUUUUUAAAGAUAUAAGUAAUUAAAAAUUUUCAAUGAAAUAAAUAAAAUUGAUAACUUUAUUCAAGAUUUCUAUAUUGAAAAUUUUAUGUAUAAAGGGAAUGCUUUUAUAAUUAUACAAGAGGAAAGUCUCAAUACAUGCUGUGUAUUUUGGUAUUUUUCUGAGAGCGACUGUUUUCAUUACACUGGUCUCCUGCUGAUAAGAGGGCCUCAGGGUAAAUAACAAAAAUGCAGAUGUGUGCAAUAUUUAUUCAAAAUUUCCUGUGUUUUUUUUCCAAAAUAAAUGUAAGCAUAGAUAAAUGAAUAUAAUUUUUGUUAUCAUAAUCAAAUGUAAAAAAAAUAAUCAUAAUGGCAUAAACGCAUGUUAGAUAUUAUUGUCAUUAUUGUCUUUGAAGUGGAAUUUUCUAACCUUAUCAUAAAAACUGGUCAGUGUUAACCAUUCUAGAAUUACCUCAUAUUAAUAUUUAUCCACAAUUCUUGCAAUUCUGCAAUAAAAUCUGCACUGGGAAAUGUUAAUUUUUUCUAUUAUAGAUUUGACAAAUUUGUCUUGUCAGUUUUAACACAUUUAGAAGAUAAUAUAUUUUAAAGAAAAUAUUUAAAACUUUUGCAACUUCCAUUUCACAUGAAUGCAGAUCUUUUUUUUUUAAAAUAAAAUAUCAUACAUGAGCAGAAAGCAGUUAAAGAAGAUUAAAGUGUCAAAAGUCAUGCUGUGUAUUGGUGUUUUAAUAUAGUACCCUGCUGAUAAGAAAGCCCCUCAGGGUAAAUAACAAAAGGCAGAUGAUAAAUAUAAGUAGGCAAUUCUGUGUUCUCUGGAUAUUGGUGCAAAUAAAUUUCAUUACAAGUAGUACAAAAAGAAAACUGAACUAUUUUUGCAUUUUAUAAUAAACUCAUAAAAAUAAUCAUAAUUUAUUGCAUAAUUAUGUUACAAUGCCUGAAAAAAAGAUUGGUGUUUUCUCAAGAAAUAGAAUUGAAAGAUUUUCUAUAUUUUUGUUAAUAUCCAUGUAAGUUAAAGUAUACUAGUGUCCCACAGGUACAUAUCAAUACUUAAUCCACACAUAUCAAUACUUAUUCACAUUUCAUACAUACCACCAUUAGAAUUAUAUAAAUAUUUAUUUUCAGAAUAAUGUAUAUCAUUUAUAUUAAUCUUAGGUAAAUCUCAGUUUGAGAAGGUAAGAGAGAUUAUAAAUGAGAUAAAAUUGAUAAAAUUUAGGCCAAUUAUAAACAUAUUAAUUCUUUAAUGUAUUAAAGGCUAUUAAUGCUUGAAAUCAUUACCUUUAACUAAAACAACAAUAAGUUCAGAUCAAAAAUAACUAAUUGUUAUAAUCCCCCCCCCACCUAAAAAAAAAACAAAAACAAAAAAAACAAAAAAACAAAAAAUGACUUAAAUUUGUUGAAUUAGCAUUUCAAUGUUUCAUAUUUUCAUAACCAGAUUAUAAAAAAAUAGAAUCAUAUUAAAUAUCAAUUAAUUUUAUUUAUUUAUUCACUUAUCAACAUUAAAGUAAUAAUUAUUUAUAUUUACUUAUUCUAGCAAUUAAGUUUUAAAGUACAAAAUCAGUAAAAUCAAUGACUGAAAAAUUAUUGUUCAAUUAUUUUACGCCAUAUUUUACAAAAUCCAAUAUUCUCAACUUCAAAUUUAUCAUGAAAAAACUAUAAUACAGCUACCUUUUUGUAAAAGUUAAAUUGCUAUUCAUUGAAAUAAAAGGUAACUGCUUGAAACAUAUAAUAGGUCUGGUGCACUACAAAGUGCACUAAUGAAGUGCACUAGUAGUGCACUUUGAAGUGCACUAGUAGUGCACCUCUAAUGCACUCCUAGUGCACUUUGUGUAACCUUUAGUGUGAACUUAACUGUAUCUUUGAACGUAUUAAGGAUUUAUAUAGAAGUAAUAGGCUAUUCUUGUCAGUCCCAAAAUCAAUGCCUUUUAACAUCCUCAUGACAUUUAAAUCCUUUUUACAUCUGUUGACCAAAUCCUUGAUAUGCGGCCCGAAUGUUAAUUUUUGAUCUAAUAGUAAACCUAGGAAUCGGACCGUUUUAACAAAAUUAAUGGGUGUACCACCUAAAGAUACGUUCAAAUUGUGCUUUUUUUGAUUGCCAAAUACAAUACCCACAGUUUUAGUUUCAGAUAUUUUAAAGCCCCAUUUUUGUGCCCAUCCCCAUAGAGAGUCCAUGCCAGCUUGUGCAUCCUUGGCUAGCUUAACCAAAUUGGACCCAGAUUUCCAGGUGCUGGAAUCGUCAGCAAACUGGCUAAUGACCAUACCAGAACCUGAGAGAGAUUCUGGUAAGCCGUUAAUAAUGAUAGAAAAUAGUAACGGCGAGAGGAUCGAGCCCUGGGGUGUGCCACGCUCCACUGGCUCUGUGUCAGACAUUGAACCCUCAACUCGAACCAAUAUUUUCCUGCCCUCUAGAAAAGACCUUAAAUACUGGAAGCAGGCGCCUGUCACACCAUGUUCUUUUAACUUAUAUAAAAUACCAAAGUGCCAUGUAAGGUCAAAAGCUGCUGUUAGGUCUAAAAAGAUAGCUAGCACUGAUCGUGAUCUGUUUUUUGCUAGGAUCACGUCGUGUUGCAGUCGAGCAAGCUGGUCUAAAGUGCUCCUACCCUUUCUGAAUCCAGAUUGAAAGGGGUUAAUAAUGUUUUUUUGAUUCCAGCAGGUAUUCUAAACGGGCCUUAACCAUUCCCUCCAGCAAUUUCCCUGAGUGAGAUGUAAGGCUAAUAGGUCUAUAAGAUUUUGGUUCUGUUUUGUCUUUACCAUUUUUGUAUAUACAUAAUGUAGGUAUGACACAUGCCUCCUUCCAAGCAUUGGGGUAAAUCCCCUCAACCCACACCUUAUUGUACAACCUGAGCCAGAUGUCCAGCACCCCCUUUGGUAGGUGCCUGAACAUCUGGUAGGUUAUUCCAUCCUUUCCCGCGGCGGAAUCACGCCUUUUAUUCAAACAUGACCAAAAUUCCGUGAUAGUAAAAGGUAAAUUUAAAGGCGUGUCAUUUUCCCCCGGCUCAUAUAUAUUUUUGUUUUGUGACUCAAACUCAGCCUGGUAUCUUAGGGUGUCUGGUAACAUGUUUGAGUCACUGGAGACCUGUUUGUAGUGCUUUACUAGAAAUUGAGCCUUUUCAAAGGGAGUUUUAGCAUAAUUUUGAUUUAAUCUUAAUAAUGGUACAGGAUUUGUAGCAGAGCCUUUAAUUCUUUUAAUUUUCUGCCAAAAUAAUUUUGCACUACAUUUCUGAGUGGACACUGACUCACAGAACUCUGACCAGUUUUCUUUUUUAGCUUGUAAUAUAGUAUGUUUACAAUUUGCUUCUGCUACUUCAUAGGUUGUUAAAUUUCCAGGACUUGGAUUUUUUUAAAAUUUAUUUAUAGAUUUUUUUCUUUCCUGUACCGCUUUUUGACAAUUUUCAUUCCACCACGGGACAGACUUAUGCCCACCUGCCCUCGGGGUGAAGGUCGGUAUAGCCAGUCCACCCAUGUCCAUUAUUUUUUCUGUUAAAUUUUCAAGAAAUAUAUUGAUGUCAUUACUGUAGACUUCCUCAUAGGUAAUAUCCUGACAUAAUGUAUGAAAAGUAGACCAAUCUGCCUUUUCAUAAUUAAUUUUUUUUUGUUUGGGUAAAUUUUGGUUCUCAUUGAUUUUGGCAUUUAGUGAUAUAAUUAAAGGGAAGUGGUCAGAUCCCAUAGUAUCAUUUACUACACCCCAAGCCAAAGAAGCCGAAAUUUUUGGGGAGGCUAAGGUAAGGUCUAUACAUGAGAGAGUACCUUGAGCCUUAUUUAACCUAGUUGGUGAGCCAUCAUUUUAAUUGAAUUAUCAAUAUGUAUAUUUUCUGAAUUUAAAAAUCUAUUUAUAAAUUAAAACUAUGUUUAUAAGCAUAUACUGUGUAUAUGGUAUAAUCUCUUAUUUUCCUAUGUAAUACAGAUGAAUGUUACAUCAUGGAGUUAAAUAUAAGAUGGAGAAGAGACUGUGACGUCACACAGUUAAAAUCGGUAUAGGCAGAAUUGUGUUACCGCAAGUUAUCAUAUGUCGGAAGAUUUUGCGAGAAUUGAUGUAUCCUGGGUAAAAGUAGCCAAAAUACCGCCAUAUUGAAUUCCCGGAGGUCCAUCAACAAAAAAGACUAAACAUUUUUUACUUAUAUAAGAAGCAAUAGUUAUUUAUUCUAAAACGUACAAAACACACUUUUCCACACAAAUAUUUCUCUGAUGAAAAUCCAUGUCGGCAAUGUCAACAAUAAUUCACCGAUAUCGCAAAAGUUAAACGAUAGCGUGAAAAUCGGAGACUAGCGGGAAAACCCGAUUAUCACCAAAGCGCGCAAAGGAUUGUGGGUCUGAAUCGGACUUGCGUCUAUUUUCGGAGUGUCCUAUCCGUUGUUUAUAUAUCUGUGGUUAUAUGUAUAUAUAUAUAAAAAAAACAGAGUGGCUGACUAGUCAGGUAAAUAAACCAAACACACUAAUAGUCAAUAUGACCUUGUAUAUAAUUUUGUAUGUCAACCAAAAGAUCAAAAAUAUCUUAAAUAAUAAAUAAUGGUUGACCUAUUAAUCAAUGAUCUUAUAAUAAAUAAGUUAAAUACAAAAUAUUCAACUAUAUAUGCUACUUAACAGGUGGUCGAACGUAUAGCGGUGCGAUACUCCUUUAAGCGAGGUGAUUUCAUGCGAUACGCCCUAAUGGCGGAUUUACCCGUGUAAAUACACGUCAGAAUGAGUGUUUUUUAUUAAGUUUUUCAUAAAUCUUCGGUUACAAUUGCAUAUUUUGUAUUGAGGAUGUGAAGAUAGGACCGACACACAUUUCGUCAAAAUUACAGAGGCCUAAAUUCAUAACUAUAAAAGUUAUUGAAGGUAAACUGACGGCAACUAAUUUUUGGUCGGUGAAUAAAAUCGCUUAAUGCAAGCUUAUAUUAAUAUAGUUAAUUUCUUUUUUUUCUUUAUUGUAUAAGAGUAAUCAUAAUUGAGUUGCAUAGCAAGUACUUUUGUGCUCCGAUAUACAUAGACGCUUACUGGUCAAAAUAUUUAAGUGUACGCUGGAUUUGGGUGCGAUAAAUUAACUGUACGCUGUUAAAGGUUUGAUAUUUUUCAUUAUCACAUCUGCUGUACAUGUUUUCCUAUGAUUAUACUAAGUAUUUGCCCGUUUCCGGAAUUCUGAAAUCUUCUUCUUUCCUUAAAGAUUAACUUGAAAUAAAAGUUUGUAUAACCAUCUAUAUAAGUGUUUGGACUUAAUUUGAAUGAUUAAUAAUAAUUAUCCUGUGAUAAUUAGGAGUUGAUAAAAGGUAACCUUUACUCUAAGAUCUUAGAUAAAAAGUAGGAAUUUGACCAAAAUAUGUAAGAAUGAAUUUAAAAAACCUAUUAAGAAAUCUUGUAUAAAUUAACAUACUUUCAAAGCAGAACAUUUCAGAAAAAUAGCAGUUAAUACAUGUAUGUUAUAUAAGGGCUGCUUUACUCCAUGAGGUUCUAAGAUCUUUUGUACAUGCUGCUGUCAAACUGAUAUUUUUUCAUAUUAUAAAUAGAAUUGAACAUUUCAAACAACCUAUUAAAUACAGUGAAAGUACAUUUCACUGCUGUUCUAGAGAUAGAGACUGAGAACCAGGUGGUAAAAAUCUUUAGGUGGUAAAAUUCUAUUUUUGUAGUGCACAUAAUUGUGGCCUGUCAGGAAAAAACACAAAACUACAAUUUCAAAAUUCAGUCAGUCAUUGGACACCAAACAGCUCAGUGUCUGUCUUAGGAACAGCUGAUGCUCAUAUUUGCAAAUACACCGUUGUAAAUGUUUCAGAGCAAUUAAAACAUUACAAAUUGAUUAACAAACAAAACUACUGCCAGAUAGGUUAAGUACCACAAGUACAAAUGCUGACACAUGUGCAAAUAAACAAAAAGCUUUUGAGUAUAUAAUAUUAGAUUGAGUCACAAUGCUUAUGGAGUAGUAUAUAAAUAACACAUGGGUUUGUGGGUUACAGUUAAAAUAUCAUCCAAAGGAAAAUACUGUUAGCCAAGGUGUUAGCCGAGGGAAACAGUAUUUUUAGGAGGGUUGAUAUUUUUACUGUUACUCACAAACGCUUGUGUGUUAUUUAUUUUAUUUCCCGAACAGAUACUGUAAUCUAUAAUACUUUUAUUUACAUAAAAAACACUUGCCCAGAUUUUAUACUGUUAAAAAGUGCUGUUGGCCUGUAACGGUACAAUUCUCUUGGUACACUUGCUUCAACUCCUUGUUGAAAUUAAUAUUUACAAAAAAGUGAGGGGUAAUACUAUACAUUAAAUGAUGCAGAGAAAGCCUAGUUUUAAAAGUAAAACUACUGGCAGAUAAGUUAAAUCACUAAAAGUAUGAAUGCUUUCAUAAGCAAAUACACAAAACUGUUUGGUAUACACUGGUUAUGGAGUAGUAUAGUUAUAUAUUCAAAGCGACAGAGCUAAUGACAAACAUCAGAAUAACUGAAAUACAAUUAUGUGCUCUGUAUAUAAUAUAUAACAUCCAAUCCAUAGAGGAAAUCAAACCAGUUUUUUUUAUAAAUUUUAAGUUCCAUUGCAAAAAAAAAUAAAUAAAUGGAAGAAACAAAACGAAUAUUAUCGUGACUAUUGAUUACUUGAUAGAAUUUCAAAUUUAUGUGCAUAACUAAUCUCAUUUUAAUGAUUAACCUCUGUGAGAAAAGAAUAUUUAAAUUAACUAUAUCAUAGUAUAAUACAUUAAUUGACGCUGUUGUUUUUAUUGACACUGUGGUUUUCAUAUGAUUAACAUAAAACUCAAAACUUGAUAUUUCAUCAAAAUUGAAUAAGAAUGUACUGUAAUGAGGAAGUUACUACAGAAAAACAUACCAACAUUUGUGCGUACAUUUAGUUUAUCGGACCAAAUAUUAGGCGUACAGUAAGAAAACUGGAAAUAUUUUAUAUAUUUUCGGAUAGAUAUGGAAAACUACUCUUGUAUAUCGUUUUGUUUUCAAAAUAAAACAUGUUGGGACUUAAACUAAUUGAAUAUCUCGUUUUAAAACGACUGAUACAUUAUUCGUUUGCAUGUGCAUAUCAGGUUGACAGUUGAAUUUGCAACAACAAAUACCUCAAUAACUUCCUCAAUUCUACAAAAUUUAGUAUUUUAUUUUGACAAUCAUGCACAAUUAUAAGUUUUGAUCAGCAUGCACAAUGCUAUUCUUAAAAAAAUUACAACAGACAACAAAUAUUUGGAAAAAAAAAUGCUCAUAUCCACUUUCGUUUUCGCUCCAGUCCGCCAUUAGGGCGUAUCGCAUGAAUUCACCUCGCUUAAAGGAGUAUCGCACCGCUAUACGUUCGACCCCCUGCUUAAACAGUAGUUAUUUAUACUGAUGAUUACUUUAUAAAUGAGAACAUAUAGCUAGAGGAUGAACGGGUUGGUAUGGAGCUGGUAUGGUACGUGACGUCUAGUAUGUAGGUGGGAGGGGUACCGCUUGGCUGACGAUCAACGUAGAUUGUAGACUGUGAAACGAGUGUGUAUGCCGUAGAUAGUGACGAUCAAUAACGAUGUAGUGUGCCAAUAUAAUGUAACGUGUCUGUGCUUAUAAAAUGUCUUUUUAUAUCAUAAAACUAUAAUGUUUGUAAAUAUUUUUUCUUUAUUUACAAUAUGGCCUCCACCGGAAGCGGGUGAAGGGAGACAACUGUAUCUGUCUGAGCGGUGUUUAUCGGCUAUUUAACACCGGUAUUGUCGUUUUGGUGCGAAAAAUUAACCACUCAGGCCUACGGCUUUCAUGGUCAAUUCUUACGCAUGAUAAACACCGCUAAGACCGGUGUUAAUUCUUAAAUAACACACACUUUUGGUUCUUCUAUAUUCAAUAGGGAACAAUGUGGGUCGUGUUAGAAAAUAUAUUCUUGCAUAGCAGACUGGCGUUUCCGUGAGUUUUACCCAUGCCAGAAAUUCCAUCUGGCAUGGGGGGUGCCAGAUGAGUCGCGUGCCAAACAACAACGUCAUUUUAGCGCACUUUAUGAAUGAACCGCGUUAAAAUGACGUCGUUUUAGAAGGGAAAUAUGUGCUUAGGAUGACGUCAUUUCGCCGUUGUUAUUUAAGUUGUAAGUUCAUACGCUAUUGUAAGAAAAUAGUUAUUGAUGAAAUGACUUUAAUUUCCAUGAACAUAUAUCAUAUUGAUGUAAACCAUUUUAGAUAUGAAAUAAUAUGGCAGAAUAUGCAAGAAAAAAUAUCUAACAUAUGUUUGCGGUUCGGACCGGAAUAUCCGUCCCUCGGGAACCCGCCCAUGGGCGGUAACUCGGCAAGCCUCGUUACCGCCCAAUGGGCGGGUCCCCUCGGGACGGAUAUUCCGGUCCGAACCGCAACAUAUGACAGAUAUUAUUAUUACAUUUUUCAGCUGGAUCUAAUAUAUCAACUAAUGACAGACUACUCGUAUACAAUUUCCUGUCUUUUUGCUGGAAUUUACAUAGCUGAUGAUUCAAGCGAUUCGCGGUAUGUAGAAGAUCAUGUCGUCAACGAUGCAGGAGAAGCGGAUGGUGACUACAUAAUAAAUGAUUUCGCUAGAUGGGCAGAGGCUUCAAUACGUCAUUUUAAUUAUGACCAUGCUGCUUUGCUUACAGGGUAAGGAAAUGUUUCUUCUUUUUUCCUUUUAUAUUUAAGAAAUAAUAUAUCCCAAACAGUGAAUUUAUCGCCCAAUAACAUCACCGUCUAGAGUUCGGAUGCGAUGAAGGGCGUAGCAAGAGGGAGUAGCAAAUAUAAUGCUGCCGUACGUGAUAUUUAAAGCUAAAUUGCACCAGGGUUGCGUUUCACUAACGCACUUUCGUUAUCAGAAAUCAAAAUUGAACAUAACUCUUUGCGUCAGCAGAACAUACGUUUUAUUUUCGUUUUACUAAACUUUCUUAGCUAUAUAUAUAUAUGCAUUUGUGUAAUUUUAAACGUAAAGUAACGCUCACUUACUGCUGGCGUAAGUUGCACGUUCUGUAUAGUGAAACGCAACUAACGUAAAUUUACGUUUUGCGUAAGUCCCAAAUUUACAUAAAAAGAUACGUUAAACUUACGUAAUGUUAGUGAAACGCUCGUCUGGUUUGUUUCCGUACAUAUUAUCAACAGUGAUUUUAUUGCAUAAUAACACACACUUUCGGUUCUUCUAUGUUCAAUAGGGAAAAUGCGGGUCGUGUUAGAAUUCUCAAUAUUUCAUAUAUUUCUAUAAGUAUAUAAUAAAAAAUACUAUUUUUUAAAUCUACCCUAAUUUUCAUUCAAAAUGUUGAUGGUAAAAUUAAAAAAAAACAAGAUGACAAAAAAAAAAGAAAAAAACGCAAUUAUUGAUAGAAGGAGCCUUGUUGAAGACGUUUGUAGGUAAUGUAGAAGUUAAAUAGAUGUAUAUGGGCUUGCUUUGAAUUCACGUAUGACUUGUACAUGCUCAGUAUCUUGUAGUAUUUUUGAAUAUUUUUUCAAACAUUUUGAACAAAUCUUUUCGAAUUUAAUGCCAUUCAAUGUUAAAUGUCGAAUUAUUAUGAGCGAUACAAUCAGUUUGGGAUAUAUUAUUUCUUAGUUAUACUUAAUAUUGGUGCAAGUCAUGUACUCGGUAGCUUGCACUUUAUAGUACAGCCCCGUGAAUAAGCUCAAUAAAUCUGCGCUUGCAAUAUUUUCAAUUUUGUCGUUUAAGACAUUCUUUAUGGAUUCUGUUUCUAUAUACUUCAUCAAUAACGCAAAGAUUAAUCCUAAAAUAUGUCAAUUAAGCGACAUUAUUUACAAUAGUAUUUGUUUAUCAAAUAAUUCAUUACUGUUAAAUACAUAUUAUCAAAUGAAAAUGAAGGUCCAUGUGUUAUACUGUAAACCAUUGAAUGACAAAUUUGGUUUUCAGGAGAAAAAAAUCAUAAUGUUGACACAAUUUCAUAUUUGAAUUAAAUAUGAUAAUAUAUAUUUACUAGAAGCGGUUUUUGUUAGUAAGUACAACACCGAAAGUUACACUUAAAUGGACUUACAAAAAAUUCGUUUCCCUAAAUUUCGAUAAUUUUAAGUAAAAAAUCACCAUAAAGUUAGAAUGUGUGUUGUCUGAAACAAAUGCGGUCAUGUUUGUGCUGGUUAACCCUAAUUCGAUAAGAAGUAAAAAAAUUCUAGUUCAUAGUCUACUAAUUUUUAUUGAUAUUUUGUUUUCUUUAUAUUUAUAUUUAGGCGCGAUAUCGGAACGAAAGAAGAUGGUAAAUUUACAAAUGCUCUAUACGGUAUACACACUAAUACAUAGUAAAAUAUUGAUUUGUUUCAAUUAAAUCUCAUCAUUUUUAGCUCACCUGUCACAAAGUGACAGGGUGAGCUUUUGUGAUCGCUUUUCGUCCGGCGUCCGUCCGUCCGUCGUCCGUCCGUAAACUUUUACUUUAAAUGACAUCUCCUCAUAAACCACUAAGCCAAUUUCAUCCAAACUUCACAGGAAUGUUCCUUUGGUGGUCACCUUUAAAAAUUGUUCAAAGAAUUUAAUUCCAUGCAGAACUCUGGUUGCCAUGGCAACCAAAAGAAAAAACUUUAAAUAUCUUCUUCUAAAAAAGCCAAAGAGCUAAAGCUUAGAUAUUUGGCAUGAAACAUCUUCUAAUGAGUGUCUACCAAGUUUGUUCAAAUAAAAGCCUUGGGGUCAAAAUUGGCCCCGCCCCAGGGGGUCAUUGAUUUUCCCUAUAUGCAUAAAGUAAAAACUUAAAAAAUCUUCUUUGAAAAAACCCAAAUAGCUAGAGUUUAGAUAUUAAGCAUGAAACAUCUUCUAGUGAGUGUCUACCAAGUUUGUUCAAAUAAAAGCCCUGGGGUCAAAAUUGGCCCCGCCCCAGGGGGUCUUUAAUUUUCCCUAUAUGCAUAUAGUAAAAACUUAAAAGAUCUUCUUUUAAAGAACCCAAAGAGCUAGAGCUAAGAUAUUAAGCAUGAAACAUUUUCUAAUGAGUGUCUACCAAGUUUGUUCCAAUAAAAGCCCUGGGGUAAAAAUUGGCCCCGCCCUCGGGGGUCAUUGAUUUUCCCUAUAUGCAUAUAGUAAAAACUUAAAAAAUCUUCUUUUAAAGAACUCAAAGAGCUAGAGCUAAGAUAUUUAGCAUGAAACAUGUUCUAAUGGGUGUCUACCAAGUUUGUUCAUAUAAAAGCCCUGGGGUCAAAAUUGGCCCCGCCCCGGGGGUCAUUGAUUUUCCUAAUAUGUGUAUAGCAAAAACUUCAAAAAUCUUCUUUGAAAAAACCCAAAUAGCUAGAGUUUAGAUAUUAAGCAUGAAACAUCUUCUAGUGAGUGUCUACAAAUUUUGUUCAAAUAAAAGCCCUGGAGUCAAGAUUGGCCCAGCCCCGGGUGUUAUUGAUUUUCCUUAUAUGUGUAUAGCAAAAACUUAAAAAUCUUCUUUGAAAAAAACCCAAAGAGCUAGAGUUUAGAUAUUAAGUAUGAAACAUCUUCUAGUAAGUGUCUACAAAGUUUGUUCAAAUAAAAGCCCUGGGUUCAAAACUGGCCCUGUCCCAGGGGUGUCAUUGUUUUUAACUAUAUGUGUAUAGUAAAAACUUAAAAAAUCUUCUUUUAAAAAACCCAAUGAGCUAGAGCUUAGAUGGUUAGCAUGAAACAUCUUCUUAUGGGUGUUUACCAAGUUUGUUCAAAUAAAAGCCCUUGGGUUAAAAUUGGCCCUGCCGGGGGGAAGCAAGGGGGGGGGGGAGAUAGAUUGUUGUUUUUCAUUAUAUGUGUGUUGUAAAACUUAACAUCAUGAAACAUCUUCUAAUGGGUGUCUUCCAAGUUUGUUCAAAUAAAAGUCCUGGGGUUUUAACUGGCCCCGCUCCGGGUGCCUUUAUACAGGUGAGCGACCUCAGGGCCAUCAUGGCCCUCUUGUUGUGUUUCUCAACACAACUGUGAGACUGUUAUAUAACUAUAUUUUAAAAUACUCAAGUCCUGUUUACAUUAAUAUAAGCAAAUUAAGAAACAGAUUGUUUCAGUUUUCAAUGUUCGGAACUGGUUACACCGGUGCUUGGAGUCUGGGUGGUAGCAUGCAUUUACAAUUUCCGUUCGUGAACAGGCUUACCAAUUGUGAAACCGAGCCUGCAACUUUUUUCAAAUUCGUCAUUUUGAGUGCUCCUUAAGGUUUCAAUUUUUCUAUUUCAUAAAAAUAAAUAUAUCUGCUUAUUCUUUUUUGAUAAAAAGUUAUGAUUCGUAUUUUAAGGUGUUGCAUAUUUGGCCGGAGUUUGUACAAGUAAUGCAUAUUCUAUCAAUGAAAUGACAGCAUUCAAACCGUCGAUAUCAAUUGUUGUCGCACAUGAGAUUGGACAUAAUUUAGGAUCACAUCAUGAUGGUUAUACGAAUAGCUGUCCGUAUGGAGGUAUCAUGACGCCCUAUCUUAAAAUAUCCUAUGACUCAUCCAAGAACCUAAAAAUUUGGCGGUUUUCGUCUUGUUCACAGACAUAUUUUGACACUCAUAUCACCUUUUUGAAUCAAGUGUAAGUUUAAAGUUUAAUUAGUGGUGAAUAUGAUUAAUUAUCUUUAUUUCAUGCUUUCAAGUGUUUUACUGUAAUAUAUCAGAUGAUUAUAUUCUGAUAAAGCACUAAAGUCUGUCCCAUCAAAUUUGAACAUUCCAUUUUUAAUUUAAUAUAUUAGUAAAAUCAUUUAUAUUAAUGUCAUGUUAACCCUGACGUCAAUAUCUCUAGGCAUGUUUUUCAUUUUUUUCAUAAAGUCAGUAAUAUGGUCAAAAUGUUAAAAUUAUAUUUUUUCCCGUUGACUUACGUUGUAACCUGACGUGACGUCCAUUUCAAAAUGGCGGCGCCCAUAUGGACAUCAUUUAGGGUUCUUCGAAUCUCACAAUUAGCGUGAAAAGUACUCCGUAAUUAUAAAAGAAAUGAUUAUUCCUAUUUACUUCCUGGUCAAUAACUAAAUGUUAUCAUUAAAAUGAAAUAUGAGAACAAAGUUGGUGUCAAAAAGGCAAUUUUACUAGCAAACGAUUAUUUAAAAUAAUCAAAAUCACUUGAAGUGAAAAUAUCAGUAACCGCGUAUCUUGAAUCGUAGGGGAGCGGAAACACU